rnacentral:rRNA from 1 species
GUUAGGAAUAUUGGACAAUGGGCGCAAGCCUGAUCCAGCCAUGCCGCGUGAGUGAUGAAGGCCUUCGGGUUGUAAAGCUCUUUAGCCGAUGAUUAUAAUGACUGUAGUCGGAAAAUAAGCCCCGGCUAACUUCGUGCCAGCAGCCGCGGUAAUACGAAGGGGGCGAGCGUUAUUCGGAAUCACUGGGCGUAAAGCGUGCGUAGGCGGCUUUGCAAGUUGGGAGUGAAAGCCCAGGGCUCAACCCUGGAAUUGCUCUCAAAACUGCAAGGCUAGAAUUCGGGAGAGGAUAGCGGAAUUGUCAGUGUAGCAGUGAAAUGCGUAGAUAUUGACAGGAACACCAGUGGCGUAAGCGGCUAUCUGGACCGAUAUUGACGCUGAGGCACGAAAGCGUGGGGAUCAAACAGGAUUAGAAACCCGUGUAGUCC